rnacentral:rRNA from 1 species
GGAAUAUUGGACAAUGGCCGAGAGGCUGCUCCAGCCAUGCCGCGUGCGGGAGGACGGCCCUAUGGGUUGUAAACCGCUUUUGUUGGAGAGCAAUAAGAGUUACGUGUAACUUGAUGAGAGUAUCCAGCGAAUAAGCAUCGGCUAACUCCGUGCCAGCAGCCGCGGUAAUACGGAGGAUGCAAGCGUUAUCCGGAUUUAUUGGGUUUAAAGGGUGCGUAGGCGGAUGCCUAAGCGUGAGGUGAAAUGCCACUGCUCAACAGUGGGACUGCCUCGCGAACUGGGUGUCUUGAAUGCCCCUGCCGUGGGAGGAAUGUGUGGUGUAGCGGUGAAAUGCAUAGAGAUCACACAGAACACCGAUUGCGAAGGCAUCUCACGAAGGGGUGAUUGACGCUGAGGCACGAAAGCGUGGGGAUCAAACA